rnacentral:rRNA from 1 species
UACGAAGGGGGCUAGCGUUGUUCGGAAUUACUGGGCGUAAAGCGCACGUAGGCGGACUAUUAAGUCAGGGGUGAAAUCCCGGGGCUCAACCCCGGACUGCCUUUGAUACUGGUAGUCUCGAGUCCGGAAGAGGUGAGUGGAAUUCCGAGUGUAGAGGUGAAAAUUCGUAGAUAUUCGGAGGAACACCAGUGGCGAAGGCGGCUCACUGGUCCGGUACUGACGC